GCCUUUGUAGCUCAGUGGUAGAGCGUUCCACUCGUACGCGUCAUGGAAAGGUCUGGUGUUCAAUCCACCACUGAGGCACCCCC
rnacentral:tRNA from 1 species